GACGGAGGAUGCAAGCGUUAUCCGGAAUGAUUGGGCGUAAAGCGUCCGCAGGUGGCAGUUCAAGUCUGCUGUCAAAGACCGGGGCUUAACUUCGGAAAGGCAGUGGAAACUGAACAGCUAGAGUAUGGUAGGGGCAGAGGGAAUUCCUGGUGUAGCGGUGAAAUGCGUAGAUAUCAGGAAGAACAUCGGUGGCGAAGGCGGUUUCCUGGCCGAGUACUGACGCUGAGGCACGAAAGCGUGGGGAGCGAACGGG
rnacentral:rRNA from 1 species